AAAUUGAAGAGUUUGAUCAUGGCUCAGAUUGAACGCUGGCGGCAGGCCUAACACAUGCAAGUCGAACGGUAACAGGAAGCAGCUUGCUGCUUCGCUGACGAGUGGCGGACGGGUGAGUAAUGUCUGGGAAACUGCCUGAUGGAGGGGAUAACUACUGGAAACGGUAGCUAAUACCGCAUAACGUCGCAAGACCAAAGAGGGGGACCUUCGGGCCUCUUGCCAUCGGAUGUGCCCAGAUGGGAUUAGCUUGUUGGUGGGGUAACGGCUCACCAAGGCGACGAUCCCUAGCUGGUCUGAGAGGAUGACCAGCCACACUGGAACUGAGACACGGUCCAGACUCCUACGGGAGGCAGCAGUGGGGAAUAUUGCACAAUGGGCGCAAGCCUGAUGCAGCCAUGCCGCGUGUAUGAAGAAGGCCUUCGGGUUGUAAAGUACUUUCAGCGGGGAGGAAGGGAGUAAAGUUAAUACCUUUGCUCAUUGACGUUACCCGCAGAAGAAGCACCGGCUAACUCCGUGCCAGCAGCCGCGGUAAUACGGAGGGUGCAAGCGUUAAUCGGAAUUACUGGGCGUAAAGCGCACGCAGGCGGUUUGUUAAGUCAGAUGUGAAAUCCCCGGGCUCAACCUGGGAACUGCAUCUGAUACUGGCAAGCUUGAGUCUCGUAGAGGGGGGUAGAAUUCCAGGUGUAGCGGUGAAAUGCGUAGAGAUCUGGAGGAAUACCGGUGGCGAAGGCGGCCCCCUGGACGAAGACUGACGCUCAGGUGCGAAAGCGUGGGGAGCAAACAGGAUUAGAUACCCUGGUAGUCCACGCCGUAAACGAUGUCGACUUGGAGGUUGUGCCCUUGAGGCGUGGCUUCCGGAGCUAACGCGUUAAGUCGACCGCCUGGGAGUACGGCCGCAAGGUUAAAACUCAAAUGAAUUGACGGGGGCCCGCACAAGCGGUGGAGCAUGUGGUUUAAUUCGAUGCAACGCGAAGAACCUUACCUGGUCUUGACAUCCACGGAAGUUUUCAGAGAUGAGAAUGUGCCUUCGGGAACCGUGAGACAGGUGCUGCAUGGCUGUCGUCAGCUCGUGUUGUGAAAUGUUGGGUUAAGUCCCGCAACGAGCGCAACCCUUAUCCUUUGUUGCCAGCGGUCCGGCCGGGAACUCAAAGGAGACUGCCAGUGAUAAACUGGAGGAAGGUGGGGAUGACGUCAAGUCAUCAUGGCCCUUACGACCAGGGCUACACACGUGCUACAAUGGCGCAUACAAAGAGAAGCGACCUCGCGAGAGCAAGCGGACCUCAUAAAGUGCGUCGUAGUCCGGAUUGAGUCUGCAACUCGACUCCAUGAAGUCGGAAUCGCUAGUAAUCGUGGAUCAGAAUGCCACGGUGAAUACGUUCCCGGGCCUUGUACACACCGCCCGUCACACCAUGGGAGUGGGUUGCAAAAGAAGUAGGUAGCUUAACCUUCGGGAGGGCGCUUACCACUUUGUGAUUCAUGACUGGGGUGAAGUCGUAACAAGGUAACCGUAGGGGAACCUGCGGUUGGAUCACCUCCUUA
rnacentral:rRNA from 1 species